rnacentral:rRNA from 1 species
UCUGCAUGCACGUAUGCGCGUGAGUGAAGAAGGCCUUUGGGUUGUAAAGCUCUUUUGUAGGGGAAGAUAAUGACUGUACCCUAAGAAUAAGGUCCGGCUAACUUCGUGCCAGCAGCCGCGGUAAUACGAAGGGACCUAGCGUAGUUCGGAAUUACUGGGCGUAAAGCGCGCGUAGGCCGUUGAGUUAGUUAAUUGUGAAAUCCCAAAGCUUAACUUUGGAACUGCAAUUAAAACUGCUCGACUAGAGUUUGAUAGAGGAAAGCGGAAUACAUAGUGUAGAGGUGAAAUUCGUAGAUAUUAUGUAGAACACCAGUUGCGAAGGCGGCUUUCUGGGUCAACACUGACGCUGAGGCGCGAAAGUAUGGGUAGCAAAGAGGAUUAGAUACCCUCGUAGUCCAUACCAUAAACGAUGAUUGCUAGAUGUUGGAAAUUUAUUUUCAGUAUCGCAGCUAACGCAUUAAGCAAUCCGCCUGGGGAGUACGACCGCAAGGUUAAAACUCAAAUGAAUUGACGGGGACCCGCACAAGCGGUGGAGCAUGUGGUUUAAUUCGAAGAUACGCGCAGAACCUUACCAACCCUUGACAUGUCUGUCG